rnacentral:piRNA from 1 species
UUCGUCGACCCCAAAUUGACU